GUGGAGAGAUGAUCUGUGUUCCUCAGUGCAGCGCCGCCUUCUAAAUCCUUGCCUGCCAAGAAGAGAUGCUCAGUAAACAUUUGUGGAGUGCUGAGCAGCUUCCUUUUAUAGAAACAGAAGAAACUUUCAGAAAUAACAAGCUGGACUUAACUUUGACUUUACACUUUUGAUGCUGCUGACCUGACACUCAAACUGAGGGCA
rnacentral:lncRNA from 1 species